UGGGGAAUAUUGGACAAUGGGCGAAAGCCUGAUCCAGCCAUGCCGCGUGUGUGAAGAAGGUCUUCGGAUUGUAAAGCACUUUAAGUUGGGAGGAAGGGCAGUAAGCGAAUACCUUGCUGUUUUGACGUUACCGACAGAAUAAGCACCGGCUAACUCUGUGCCAGCAGCCGCGGUAAUAUAGAGGGUGCAAGCGUUAAUCGGAAUUACUGGGCGUAAAGCGCGCGUAGGUGGUUCGUUAAGUUGAAUGUGAAAGCCCCGGGCUCAACCUGGGGACUGCAUCCGAAACUGGCGAGCUAGAAUAGGGCAGAGGGUGGUGGAAUUUCCUGUGUAGCGGUGAAAUGCGUAGAUAUAGGAAGGAACACCAGUGGCGAAGGCGACCACCUGGGCUCAUACUGACACUGAGGUGCGAAAGCGUGGGGAGCAAACAGG
rnacentral:rRNA from 1 species